CCCUUCGGAUGGGGAUACAGCCGAAACGGCUGCUAAUACCGAAUACGAUCUUUCGUCGCAUGACGGAAAAGAAGAAAAGGAUGGCCUCUAUACAAAGCUAUCGCCGAAGGAGGGGUUUUGCGUCUGAUUAGCUGGUUGAGGGGUAACGGCCCAACAAGGCGAUGAUCAGUAGCCGGUCUGAGAGGAUGAACGGCCACAUUGGGACUGAGACACGGCCCAGACUCCUACGGGAGGCAGCAGUGGGGAAUCUUCCGCAAUGGACGAAAGUCUGACGGAGCAACGCCGCGUGAGUGAAGAAGGUCUUCGGAUUGUAAAGCUCUGUUAUACGGGACGAAAAAGACGGAUGCCAACAGUAUCCGUCCGUGACGGUACCGUAAGAGAAAGCCACGGGCUAACUACGUGCCAGCAGCCGCGGUAAAU
rnacentral:rRNA from 1 species